ensembl:lncRNA
AAAAAAACUCAUUGCCUUGUUUCUUGAUGGUCUGUGGAUUGAUUUAGCCCUGUGUCUGCUUAACAGGUUAAAGAAACCUCUCCAGACACAUGUGCACCUGUCACCAGUGGACCUUUGAGUGAGAGACUACAGUCCUCAAGGAAUCAUGUUCGAAACACAGUUCCCUGUUUCCCUGUGCAACUUGCCAUAACUCACAAAAAUAGGUACAUGAGACACAGCAGCAGCUGUCCUAGAAAUGUGACACUCAGCCAUAAAGGGAAUGAGGUGUAUCAUGAUUGAUCAUUCUUCACAUCGGCACUAUUGAAGUGAAAGAGCCAGUCACCCAUGUCAGGAACGGCUCCCAGAUGUGUGAGCAUCUCUCUCUCAGUCUGUUCAUCAGCUCUCUGAAGCUUUCCCAAAAUUCUCUUAUGCAACAAUAAAAAUCACAUCACGCUAACAAUGCAUUUAAGACUUAUCUGCGCUCAGGGGAACAGCUGGUUGCGAUGAUCUGCUGAAAUGUUUCCCACCAUGUUUCUCAAGUGCAGUCAUUAGGGUGGAACAAAAGAGAUGUGGCUUAUAUCAUGCAGUUUCCCCAGAGGUCAUGCCUUUGAGUAGCAGAAUCAUUUAAAAUGCUAUUCACGGAUUCACAGAAAACAGUUAGACGUGGAUUGUUCAGACAGCAUGGGCAGAAGGACUCAUGGAUGACCAUUAGGUUAUGGUGGUUUAAGG